UACGAAGGGGGCAAGCGUUGUUCGGAAUCAUUGGGCGUAAAGCGCACGUAGGCGGUUCGUUAUGUCGGAUGUGAAAGCCCUUGGCUUAACCGAGGAAGUGCAUCCGAAACUGGCGAGCUAGAGUACGAAAGAGGAUCGCGGAAUUCCCAGUGUAGAGGUGAAAUUCGUAGAUAUCGGGAGGAACACCGGUGGCGAAGGCGGCGAUCUGGGUCGAUACUGACGCUGAGGUGCGAAAGCGUGGGGAGCAAACAGG
rnacentral:rRNA from 1 species